rnacentral:piRNA from 1 species
UGAAUUAGUGACCUUUGCCCCCAGCUGC